UGAGGAAUCUUCCACAAUGGGGGCAACCCUGAUGGAGCAACGCCGCGUGCAGGAUGAAGGCCUUCGGGUUGUAAACUGCUUUUAUUAGUGAAGAAUAUGACGGUAACUAAUGAAUAAGGAUCGGCUAACUACGUGCCAGCAGCCGCGGUCAUACGUAGGAUCCGAGCGUUAUCCGGAGUGACUGGGCGUAAAGAGUUGCGUAGGUGGUUUGUAAAGCGAAUAGUGAAAUCUGGCGGCUCAACCGUACAGGCUAUUAUUCGAACUCACAAACUCGAGAAUGGUAGAGGUAACUGGAAUUUCUUGUGUAGGAGUGAAAUCCGUAGAUAUAAGAAGGAACACCAAUGGCGUAGGCAGGUUACUGGACCAUUUCUGACACUAAGGCACGAAAGCGUGGGGAGCGAACC
rnacentral:rRNA from 1 species